AUUGUCAACAUUUCUGCACAGAAAAUACUGCUCAUAGACCCCAUGGGGAAUGAAGGUGUUUAUGACAAGAAAAUUCUGCGCAACUGGAGGUAUGUAUGAUACUGAGGUAUUAUUCUUGUGUGUUUUAUGUUUAGAUAUUAAACAUAAAACAUUUCUUGUUUCAUUACAAACAUUUUUGUUCAACUAGGAAUUUUCUGAGGAUGAGAGGGCAUGAAGACACCAUGGAGUGGCAGUUACAGAUUAUGCAACACAACAAGCAACAGGAUUCCAGCAGUUGCGGAGUUUUGCUGUUAAAGUUUGCAGAACAGUACCUUGCUUUUGGAGAGGUCAGUGAGGUGUUAACCACUACAGAAGCAGUUGUGCUGGAGCAAAUGCAGAUAGCUUGCACCCUACUUGAACAUCGAGGGAACACUGAGGACUACUGCAUUGUUUGCUCUAUGUUAGAUGCUGACGCUGACCGCAGCAUGAUUGAAAUGGUGCAGUGUGAAUCUUGCCAAAGAUGGGCAUAUUUUGCAUGUGCAAAAUAUAAAGAGAGCAACCAAGAAUAUAAAUGCAAAAAAUGUAAGGAAAACACAUAACAAUUUCAAAUAAAAACAGCUGUCUUUUCCCCUCCAUGUCUCUUUGUAUUCUUUGUCAACAUUAGAUGAUUGUGUGCUGGAGGCACGUUUUGAUAGUGUGAUUUGGCCACCUGAACGUCGUACCUAAAUAAAUCCAAGCUGGAAUCAUGUUUUAAUAGUGUGAUUUGGCCAUCUGAACGUCCUACCUAAAUAAAUCCAAGCUGGAAGCAUGUUUUAAUAGUGUGAUUUGGCCAUCUGAACGUCCUACCUAAAUAAAUCCAAGCUGGAAUCAUGUUUUAAUAGUGUGAUUUGGCCAUCUGAACGUCCUACCUAAAUAAAUCCAAGCUGGAAUCAUGUUUUAAUAGUGUGAUUUGGCCAUCUGAACGUCCUACCUAAAUAAAUCCAAGCUGGAAUCAUGUUUUAAUAGUGUGAUUUGGCCAUCUGAACGUCCUACCUAAAUAAAUCCAAGCUGGAAGCAUGUUUUAAUAGUGUGAUUUGGCCAUCUGAACGUCCUACCUAAAUAAAUCCAAGCUGGAAGCAUGUUUUAAUAGUGUGAUUUGGACACCUGAACGUCCUACCUAAAUAAAUCCAAGCUGGAAGCAUGUUUUAAUAGUGUGAUUUGGCCAUCUGAACGUCCUACCUAAAUAAAUCCAAGCUGGAAGCAUGUUUUAAUAGUGUGAUUUGGCCAUCUGAACGUCGUACCUAAAUAAAUCCAAGCUGGAAUCAUGUUUUAAUAGUGUGAUUUGGCCAUCUGAACGUCCUACCUAAAUAAAUCCAAGCUGGAAGCAUGUUUUAAUUGUGUGAUUUGGACAUCUGAACGUCCUACCUAAAUAAAUCCAAGCUGGAAGCAUGUUUUAAUAGUGUGAUUUGGCCAUCUGAACGUCCUACCUAAAUAAAUCCAAGCUGGAAGCAUGUUUUAAUAGUGUGAUUUGGACACCUAAACAUCCUACCUAAAUAAAUCCAAGCAGGAAGCAUGUUCUGAACGUCCUAGCGAAAUAAAUCCAAGUUUUUAAGUGUGAUUUGGCCAUAUGAAUGUCCUACCUAUAGAUAUGUACGAUGGAGCCAUUAACCACUUAAGGUAGCAUAUUCUGAUAAGGUAGCACGGAUUGAUAGACAAGACCAUAAAUUUACGCUACGGUAGCGCUACGGUAGGAUGUUUUGACAAGGUAGGACGUUUUGUCAGAACACCGGGCCACAGAAAAGGCUCCCAGAAGGCCGCGAGCAAAACCCAUAAGAAGGGGAACAAAAGGCGGCGCAAAAGCAGGAAAGAGCUAUGUUAUUUACUUGUGUAAUGGCACGGCAAGAUAAAAGCCAUUGUUUUACACAUAAGCAG
rnacentral:lncRNA from 1 species